CCACCAUGUGAAGAAGGUCCUUGCUUCCUCUUCAUCAUCUAUCAUGAUUGCAAGUUUAGGCCUCCUCAGCCACGUGCAACUUUUAUUUCACCCUGAAGCCAAAGAGAACUUUCUGAAAGACAAAUUUGCUCAUGCUAUAAUAGUUACUGACAAAUAUUUAAAGGACUAAGUUGUGUAAGGAAUCUACACUGUCAGGCAGAACCAGGAUUCCUGGAAGUAGAACUGGGCUGCUUCAUAAGUCUGACUUCAUAUGACAGCUAGAUUCAAAAGGAUGAAAUCAGUAGAGGUGAGACCUCUUGAUGCCUUGGCUUGGAAGUCACAUAUUCUAUUGGCCAAAGCAAAUCACAAGGCCACCACAAAUUCAAGGAGAUGAAGAAAUAGACUCUACCUCUCUUGAUUGGCUUAUAAUAUGGUCAGUUCUUCAGAGGAAGAGGAAAAUUUCAUCUGGCCUCAAAUCUCAGUGAUCGCAUUUGUGGGAACAUAAUGUCUGAAGUAAAGACUAAGUAGAAGUCUGACAAGCAAAAAAAGAAAAAAAGACAAAGACACUCCAAGCAAGAGAAACAACCUGAGCAGAAGCACCCAGGUAUGACAGAAAACGUAGAGAGGAAAGGCUUCCAAAAGCAACAGAGAUUCACAGGAAGCUCCACAGAAAAACGGGUGGUGCAAAAAAUUAGGCAAGAGGGAAAAUGGGGUUAGGCCAUGUACCAACAUGUUCAUCAUUAUACAGUGAUUGGACUUGGAAAGGCAGAAGAGAAGCAAGAGCCAGCAUCCUCAUCUUAUAAACAGAAAAGCUGUCUGGGCGUGGUGGCUCAUGCCUGUAAUCCUAGCACUUUGGGAGGCCAAAGCGGGCGGAUCACGAGAUCAGGAGAUCGAGACCAUCCUGGCUAACACAGUGAAACCCCGUCUCUACUAAAAAUACAAAAAAUAUUAGCCGGGCAUAGUGGCGGGCGCCCGUAGUCCCAGCUACUCGGGAGGCUGAGGCAGGAGAA
rnacentral:lncRNA from 1 species